UUUAUUGGAGAGUUUGAUCCUGGCUCAGGACGAACGCUGGCGGCGUGCCUAAUACAUGCAAGUCGAGCGGACCUGUAUGGAGCUUGCUCCAGACAGGUUAGCGGCGGACGGGUGAGUAACACGUAGGCAACCUGCCCGCAAGACCGGGAUAACGUAGGGAAACUUACGCUAAUACCGGAUAGGGCACUCUCUCGCAUGAGAGG
rnacentral:rRNA from 1 species